GCAGCACGGGGGCAACUCUGGUGGCGAGCGGCGGACGCGUGAGUAAUACAUCGAGACGUACCUAAUAGAUGGGGAUAGCUAACCGAAAGGUUGGAUAAUACCGAAUAAUCUCUGAGGAGGAAAGCUGGGGACUUAGCGUGCUAGGCCUGGCGCUAAUAGAGCGGUCGAUGGUUGAUUAGCUAGUUGGUGGGGUAAAGGCUUACCAAGGCGAUGAUCAAUAGCUGUUCUGAGAGGAUGAUCAGCCACACUGGGACUGAGACACGGCCCAGACUCCUACGGGAGGCAGCAGUGGG
rnacentral:misc_RNA from 1 species